rnacentral:lncRNA from 1 species
UGCGAUACCCAGGCGUUUAACGCCUCUCCUCCAUAUCGAAUAAGGUCCAAACGGAAGUCCAUCUUCAGGUCUGUGGAGAAACAGCUUAAGUUUGCAUUCGACAAUGAGCAGCACAAUACUAGUACUGGAACUAAUGAUUCAACUGUCAAAGAGAUAUCACAUGUAGCAGAUUGUUUGCGUGCAACAAGAAUGGGUAUCACCUAGAGCCUAUGGUAAGAGCCAUCCGUUCCUUCUAAUUAAUGAUUCAACGGUCAAAGAGAUAUCACAUGUAGUAGAUUGUUUGCGUGCAACAAGAAUGGGUAUCACCUAGAGCCUAU